GCCGGGCAUGGUGGCGGGUGCCUGUAAUCCCAGCUCCUCGGGAGGCUGAGGCAGGAGAAUUGCUGGAGCCCAGGAGGCAGAAGUUGCAGUGAGCUGAGAUCAUGCCACUGCAUUCCAGCCUGGGCAACAGAGGGAGACUCUGUCUCAA
rnacentral:SRP_RNA from 2 species